rnacentral:rRNA from 1 species
GGCGAACGGGUGAGUAACGCGUAGGAAUCUACCGAUUAGUGGGGGAUAGCCCAGGGAAACUUGGAUUAAUACCGCAUACGCCCUACGGGGGAAAGCGGGGGAUCUUCGGACCUCGCGCUAAUCGAUGAGCCUGCGUAAGAUUAGCUUGUUGGUGAGGUAAGAGCUCACCAAGGCGACGAUCUUUAGCUGGUCUGAGAGGAUGAUCAGCCACACUGGGACUGAGACACGGCCCAGACUCCUACGGGAGGCAGCAGUGGGGAAUAUUGGACAAUGGGGGCAACCCUGAUCCAGCCAUGCCGCGUGUGUGAAGAAGGCCUUCGGGUUGUAAAGCACUUUCAGAUGUGAGGAAAGGUGUGUGCUUAAUACGUACAUACUGUGACGUUAGCAUCAGAAGAAGGACCGGCUAACUCCGUGCCAGCAGCCGCGGUAAUACGGAGGGUCCGAGCGUUAAUCGGAAUUACUGGGCGUAAAGCGCGC